UUUUUUUUUUUUUUUUUUUUUUUUUUGUAAAAAAAAAAAAAAAAAAAAAAUUUUUUUUAAACCCCCCUUUUAAAGUCACACA
rnacentral:ribozyme from 1 species